UUUGAGUUUGCACAUGUACUUCGGGUUAGGAAUAGUAUUUCAAACCAAGUAUCUUUGGUUUGCAUAAGUAUUUGGAGCUUUUGGAGUUCAAUUAGUGCUUUGGGUUUGCACCAGUAUUCUUUUUGCAUCCAGUUUUAGGUUGCAUCAGUAUUUUGAGUUUGCAUGAGUACUUUGAGUUAGCACUAGUAUUAUGGUUUGCAUCAGGAUUCUUUGUUUGCAUCCAUAUUUUAGGUUUGCUUAAGUAUUUUGGGCUGGACCGAUGCUUUUCGAAGUUGCACAAGUACUAUUGAUUGGCUCUAAAAUUUCAGGUUUGCACAAGUAUCUUUGGUUAGCUAGGGCAGUAUUUGUGGCUGCACUAGUGCUUUUGGUGUUUAAAUGACUGCUUUGGGUUUGCACCAAUAUUUUCGGUUUGCAUCUUAUAUUGUGAGUUUUCAUCAGUAUUUUGGGGUUUGCACCAGCGCUUUUCAAGUUUGCACGAUCACUUUGGGUCAGCUCUAGUAUUUGGGGUUUGUAUUAGUAAUCUUCAUUUACAUCCAUAUUUUGGGUUUUGCACCAGUUGCAUGAUAUAAAUUUUAUCACCAGCUGUAGUCUGGUUUUGGCUCAUCUUGACUGUCUUGUUGUAAUUUUACAAAGAGGCAGAUUAAAAACUGUAGAUCAUGUGGUCGUGAAGAUUUCAUGUUUUCAUUCACAUGCUCAACUCCUUCAGAAAUUGUCUAGUUUUCAUGAGCUGAAUACAUCUUAAGUUCAUUCAUCCUUAUAAAGCAAAGAAUCAGCUCCUCUAUCUGCAUCGUCUUCUGCUCCUUUUGAAUCAAUCUACUGCGUUUGUAACAGAAAUGUCACCUGAUUCAGCGUCCGCUCCCCCUGAAGCCCUCUCAGGAGUGAUACUCUGAAGGAAGUGAAAAUCAGAUGAGGCGCAGAUUCAUAGGAAUCAGCUCAGUGACCUUGAAUUAAUGAGCCCCGGGCUGAAUUUUACAUAACUGUAUGGACUGAGAUUGCCUCUGAAGGGUCUGCUGGAGAACUCCUGAUUAUUCUUCUGCAGACAGCGGCCUACUUAUGAGCCGUUGGUGAUUUUCAAUCUGGGCUGUCAUGUGUCCCAAGGCGGUUACAAGUUACUGUUUGAGGUAGCGUGGAGUAAGCCGUCUCCUGAAACAUUGAUUCUUCUUCCUCUCGCCAAUAUCCCCAUGUGGAAUAUAAGCUACUCUAAUUCCUCCCAUGUCUGAGGAGAACAUGCAGACUCCUGUAAGCUCAAGACUCGCUCCUCAGAGGACUGUGAGCGGAGGAGUGUGUGAAUAACAAUACUCCUGUUUGAGAGAAAGAGAGAGACUCCAGUUUUCAGUAAAGCAUGAGCGGUCAAUUAUCUUGAACCUCCGCCGCUCGUACAUGUGCGAUCGCUGCUUUUACUCGUUUUCGGAGGCCUCGGAGUGGAUUAUUUUACAAAACAAGGUUAUGGCACGAUAUUAAGUCUAAUUAGACGACAACUCUCAGUGCGUGGGUUGGCUGACUAAGGGGGAAAAAACACAAGAAAACCAUUAAAGCAUUAGAAUAAAAACAUUAAACUAAAUUUAAAUGUAUAGAGCAGACAUCUACAGCAAAAUGAGGAAUAAUGAGGGCGAUUCUACCUGUUAGUGUUUGUUUUCUUUCCUUUAAUUCUGUUGUAAAGUCUGCUAUCCUAUAAAUUAGAAACUUACCUUCUCACAUUUAUUAUGAGUUAUUUUCCCUCGUAUUAAACACGUGUUCUUACUGUACUGAGGUGAACUACAGUGGCCAGACUGAGCUAAAGGUCGCUGUCAGAAUCAGUAGGAGGUAGUUGUCUUUGCACAAGAGGAGCUGUGAUAACAGACUUUUAGGGAGCUGUUUCAGUGAACCCUCAGGCAUCUUAAACAUCAUCUCUAUCAUUUUUAAUUCACCAUAAAUCUGUGUCUUUGGUUUCCUUUUCAAGUUCUGUUUUUCUUCUUUUGUGCUGCAUUAGGAUCCUUGUAGGGUACAUUAAAUCUGACAGAUUAAAGACCCUAUAAACCCUGUUUCCAGGUACCCUUUAGCAUCUAUUUCAAGUAUUAUUUGAUUGUGUUCUAAAGCAGCCUUUCCAAGCCCCUUUAGCAGCAGUUUUAAGGGACCCUAAAGCGUUUAAGUCUGUUUUAAGGUACACUUAAAGGUGGUGUAGUCAGGAUCUGAGGAAGUUCCAGUUUUUAGUUGAAAUCUUGAAUGUAAACUCUACCCCUCCCAACCAUUUUUCCCCUCAGCUCCUCCACUCCCCUCAAGCCCCGCCCACAAACAGACGCUCCUGCUCGCUCGUAUCGUUCCAGUUAAAUUCAGAUAUAAUGCAGAUAAAUACUUCAGAUCAUUACAAAUGGGGCCCAGUCAAGGUGAAAGUCAAAAGCAUUGGUGCUACUGUAGAUGCCAACAGACUACCAGCAAACACAAUGUUUGCAGGACUUCUACAACGAGGAUAAAGUGACAUAGUCCAGGACCCGAGGGAGGACAGUUUAGCGAUGGCGCUACAACACGCUACAGCAGGUCCGUUUGACAAGAAACACUUCUGUUACAGACACUUGUCUUACUUUGUUAAAGCGGUUUACCUGUCCAGCAGAAAGGUUACAGGGUCACCAAGAUCCCCAAGCGUCCCCCAUCGUUUAUGUUGACCCGGCUUUUUAGCUCUUGUCCGGUCUACCUCCGUCUUAUUCUGCCAAAGUUUCCGGUAUUUACUUUGUUUUAUUACUUGUGUUUUUUAGCACCAAUUUCAAGGUCUAUUUUUUAACUUUGAAGCACAUUUAUAAAUCUUUUAGCUUUAAUCUGUUUCCUCCUUUUUAGCGCAUGACCAGACUUGUUUUGAGAUCUGUUCAGGAUUGUUUUAAGGUGCUCCAAAACAGUCAGUAAAACAAACGCUCUGUCAGCUGUUUCGAGGUACCUUUAACAUACACUUUUAUUCUUUACAGACGAUAAAACUGACACAUGAAGUUCCUCACCGCCCAUAUUUCACCUCUUUAUUGCAAAUCCUCUAAAUUAGUUUCUCCGUUUUAACCCCGGGGUUUCCCAUCAUGCUCUGGGAUUUAAACCCCCAUGUUCCAUCUGCAGUGAGCCGUCAGAAGAGAUAUUCUGCAACAUCCUCUCGUUGCUAACAACUUGUGUCGAUGAUUAGGAUGAUUUUACACGUUGCACGCUGCCUCCACUUCUUGAAGGCAGGAAUGAGAUGCUGCACCCAAUGUCAGAGGAUGCCUGAGGGCUUUCACAGCCCUUUGCUCAGCAUCCAGACUCUGCCUGCCUCUGUGGAUCCCUGAUGCCCAGAAUGCAGAAACAAGCUUUUGAGAGGCGAGACUGCUGAGUGCUUCAGCCGAGCCUUUGAUCAGGCCUGAAACUUCCCGCUGGCCUCCUCUCUGUGCAAAGACCCAGAGGUGGUAUUGAUUUUAAAUGAUGCUUUGUGUCUCCUCCAGCUGCAUACAUGCAUAAUUUGUUUUCAUUAUUUGUUGGGCAGAGACGUGUCUGCCUGUUGUCAGUGGUUCAUUGUGAUGGACACAGUGUAUUUUUCUUUGUUUUGUACAUUAUUACUGCUCUGUGCAUCAUGGUUGUUCUAUUGAUGGAUGUGAAAAUGACGAUGAGGAAACUAUGCAGUGAUUUAUGAAGAGUUAGACUAAGCUGGAGUGAGAUCCUCCAAUUACAUUCAGUUUUUAUUAAAAUAUCUCAUUACAGUUUGUUGAGGUAAUGCACUGGAAUUCACACAUAACCCUGAUAAUGGGAAACCAAUUAGGGGAUCUUACCUGGAGCGGAAGGAGGCCAGUGCACUGUGCUUCUGUGUGGGUAAUAUUAAACACUCUGAGAGCUGAUAUGACCAUCCGCCUGGGGGAUGUUUAAAGGGGAAGUAGGACAAACAGUAUUUGGCCUUUUUUGAGGGGAGACAAGUGGAGUCAAUGUGCCAAACGCAGCUGGAAUCAGGCUGUAGGUUCUGCAGUCAGAGGACCAUGUAUUCAUUUGUAUGGGGGUUUGUGUUUGACGUACCCUUUACUGGGGUUAGAGUAUGAGGGAUUUGUACAAAGUCGACAUCUUUGUCUUUAAUUUUUCCAUCUACUGCACAGAACCUGAAAUACUUCCUCACAGCUCUUCCUGGUGUCCUGCUCAGUGCGGCUUUGCUUGACCAUGUCCUCCAUUCUUGCAGAAAAACGUGCAUUAGUUUGCUGAGGUCAAGAGUGUCAUGCAGUAGUCAGGUUACGAUCAUUAACUUUCCUCUCAGAAUGUCUGAUAAAAAGUUCCCGCCCUUUAGAGAACCCCGAUUUAACCGUCAAACUAAGCCGUGCCGAUAGAGUUGUGUAGUUCAUCAAUGAUUUGUUCAAAAGUACAGAACUGCUGAGUGAACGACAUGAAUGGAAUCACUCCAAGACCUGAUUCGUUCAUUUCUCAGUUCAACUGAGCUCAGCCGCGAGCGUGGCGUGCCGUUUGGAUAUGGAACUGCCACUUUUGACUCUUUGGCGAAUGACACACAGCCAGCCAGCGAGAAGGCUGGCCAAGUCUCAUGAUUUGUUCACAGCGAAUGAACGACAUGUAUCGGCAGAAUAACAUAACUGUUUUUGUUCACAGAGGUCAAGAGUGUCAUGCAGUAGUCAGGUUACGAUAAUCAACUUUCCUCUCAGAGUUCAAAUAAAAGUUUACAUUUCUCAUUUAAAGUUCCUGCCCUUCAGAGAAUCCUGAUCAAACCGUCAAACUAAGCCAUGCGAUCGAACAUUCAUCACUUCUCUUUCACUUUAUGUUCCAGUCUAUAAAUACCAAGAAAAUAGUGACUUUCUGACGUUUACUCAUUCAGUUCUAUAGUUGGAGCAGCAGGAUGAUGUUUGCAGGAAUGACUAAGAGAAACUACACUCACACACUCCUGGUGAAACUCACGCUUGGUAAUGAGUACAUAUCGUCCACUGCAACAGCGUGACUCACUGAUGCGUUUUAAACAGCCGCUGGGCAGAAAACAGAGCCAUAAAUAAGCAGUUUCAGGGUUUCCACUGUGUUUUUUUCUCACAAUGAUGAACAAAGUCACCCCUUAUCUGCUCUGUUGUCCUGCUAAAGCUCAUCAGGCUGAUCUUCAAACGAACUCCAGUGACUGGAAUGAUUUUCUGGAGGCUCGGUCUUUGCAUGUUACAGGAUGAGAUGAGUCUGAGUCAUCCUCCUCUCCUCCACUGCUAACUCUGCUGGACCACUUGGACGCGGUGCUGCACUACAUUGUUAUAAUGAACUGUGAAAUGUUGGACUUAUUGAUCCCUGUGGGAAAUUCCUUCUUCACUUUUCAGCAGCCAAAGUCCGCACUGAAGACAGAGUUUUCAGCUGAGUACACUCAGGCAGGGCAGACGCCUGCAGGUUCUUUGCUUGAAUUUGCUCUGAAUAAAAACAUGUGUCUGGCCUCAAAAACAGCCUCACAUUUAGAGCCCAUGGUGAAGUUUUGACUCUUCUGUACCGAAAACAAUAGCCAACACUUUUGAUGAUGCAGCAGGGGGCUGCAUGUUUGCUCCAGAGUGUUAAAUACUGAUGGUUUUUAUGUUUGUGGAGUUAUUCUUCUGUUACUGCUUCCUCUUACUGCUUUAAAAAAACCAACAAACAAAGAUAUAAAAGAGAAAGGAAAGAAGAAACAUCAGGGAAAAAGGCAGGCAAGAAAGAAAGAAAGAAAAAAAUUAAAGAAAUAAUAAAAAAAUGAUCAAAGACAGAAAAUUCAGAGAAAGAAAGAGAAAAAAAUCAAAGAAAUAAUAAUAAAAAAAAUUAGAGAAAGAAAAUUCAGAGAAAAAUUAAAGGAAUAAUCAUAAAAAAGAAAUUAAUCUGAGAAGGAAAAAAAAAAAAUAAAUAAAAGAAUCCAAGAAAAAAAGAAAGACUUAAAGAAUCAAAAGAGAGAAUAAAAAAAAUCAAAAACAUAAAAAAUCAAAGAACAAAAAAAAAUCAGAGAAUAAAAAAAAAGAAUCAAAAUAAUCAAAGAAUAAAAAAGAAAGAAUCAAAUAACAAAAACAGUCAAAGAAUUAUAAAGAAAGAAUCAACAAACCUUUUAAAGAAUCAAAGAAUUAAGAAGAAACAAAGAAUUAUACAGAAAGAAUCUAAAAAUUAAAAGAUUCAACGAACAAAAAAGAAUCAAAGAGUCAAAAGAAAAAAGAACAAAGAAAGAAUCAAAGAAUCAAAAGAAUCAAAGAAAGAGAAAAGAAAUCAGGGAAAAAGACAGAAAGAAAGAAAGAUAGAAAAAAGAAACGAGACAAAAUUAAGUGAAAACCAGAAAGAAAGAGGAAGACAGAAAGAAAGAAAGUUAAUCAGUCCAGUUUUAUCAGCUCAGAAAUAUAAAAUCACUAAUAUUUUUAAAAGAUCUUUAGAAUCUCAGUCAUACUUUUAAAUCCCCUCAUCCGCCGCCUUCAGACAGAACCAGAACCAACAAAUGUUCUCACACCUAUUUUACCAGUUUUAUUGCAAACUGUGAAACACUUUUUUAGCCUGUAAUGGAGAGUGUUACAUAAAUAAGGAUUAUCAUUAUAAGAGAGAAAGAAGGAGAGCGAACUGUUACCCAGUUUACUUUCUCUGUCUGCCUGCUAACAAGAUCACCAGUCUGAAUCAGAGCCACAGGUGUGUGUUUUUAUAACAGUCUCAGAUCAUUACUAUAAAAUGUUUAUAUGUAAAAAUCCUCAGAAUGAAGGAAGUUAACACAGAUGUGUAUUAAAACAAAAAAAGUACAUUAUAAGAGAAUUAACAUGAACACAUAACACCAGUCUGAGUCUCUCCUUUCCCCCAGAGCAACAUC
rnacentral:lncRNA from 1 species